GACGAACGCUGGCGGCGUGCUUAACACAUGCAAGUCGAACGGAAAGGCCCUGCUUGCAGGGUGCUCGAGUGGCGAACGGGUGAGUAACACGUGGGUGAUCUGCCCCUUAUUUUGGGAUAAGCCUGGGAAACUGGGUCUAAUACUGGAUAGGACCAUGCUGUAGGUGGUGUGGUGGAAAGAUUAGUUUCGGUAAGGGAUGAGCUCGCGGCCUAUCAGCUUGUUGGUGGGGUAAUGGCCUACCAAGGCGUCGACGGGUAGCCGGCCUGAGAGGGUGGACGGCCACAUUGGGACUGAGAUACGGCCCAGACUCCUACGGGAGGCAGCAGUGGGGAAUAGUGCACAAUGGGCGCAAGCCUGAUGCAGCGACGCCGCGUGGGGGAUGACGGCCUUCGGGUUGUAAACUCCUUUCAGCCAUGACGAAGCCCUUGUGGUGACGGUAGUGGUAGAAGAAGCACCGGCUAACUACGUG
rnacentral:rRNA from 1 species